UUUGGGCUGAUCAAGAAGGCCGGAAUAGCUUCCACCUCCACCCAAACUCUUUUAUUUUUCCUAAGUUUUCCUAUAUGUGGAUCUAAAACCAGCCUUUCUGUGAUUAAAAAUGCAUUACGAUGCUCAUGUAUUUGUUUUUUGAUCGAAGAGCCCUCUGCCAAGUCAUUUCCCCCAGUGUCCGUCUGUAGAGCGUUUCCUGUUUCUUUCAAUUAUUCGGCCAAGAAGGGGUACCAUUGGCCGACAGCAGGCAGAGUACGGGCCGCGUAAUAUCCAAUUAUUCAAACAAGAGGCCAUAAAUGCUGACACAACGGGGACUGGCUUGAUAAUAGACUCAUCAGACAUCGGUGCUCGUCAUCAUCAGGCCAUAGCCAGGCGCACACAACAGGUAGCAGGCCAGAGAGAGUGGAGGAACCUCGAACGGACCUGUCGCUCGUGCUCGUGACGACAAAAGUGUCUUCAACGGAAGUGACACAGCACAACACACACACAAAAAAAUACUUGAUUAUAAAUGCCCGAUGCCGCGAAGAAAAUAAAACUAAUAAAUUGAUGUUGAUCUGAGCGAUGCUGCUGGGCUGCCAUGGAGCCCAGGCCAGGGAAUCGAGCAAUGACAAUGACAAAAUCAACCGAGACAGAGAGAGAGAGAGAGAGAGCUGACAAUGAUGAAAGUGACAGCAACAAUGGCGCUGCUGACUGACUUGACUGACUGACAGGAGGAUGUGAUGGCACUGCUGCAGAUUGUGGCACCAAACAGGAGGCGGGGUGGCCAGGGACCAGGACCAGCUGUUCGCUAACUCGACUCUCUUGGCGUGACUUGUCAACGGGGGCAUCAUUCAAUAGAAGCAGCAGCAUCAACAGCAAACAGGCCCAGACAUAGGCGAUAAUGUGGUCUAUCUUUUGUCUCUCGAAAUUUCCAGGACAUUUCAGUGUCUUGAAUUUCUCCCACUGUUGACCGAACCCCAGCCUUGGAGAGUCGAACCCAUCUACUGCCCCGAAGGAAAAAGACAAGCCAGUGACAGUCCCAGUUCCAGUCCCACUGCCAGUCAUCGAUCCAUCAGCCAUUCAAUCAUUCAGUCAUUUCGACUGUUGUCACUCACUCACACUCAAGUUGCAUGCGGCAGGCAGACGAGUCAGACCAGAGGGGCCCCCAGCCGCCAGCCCCCAGCCCAUGCUGCACGAUUCCGUGGUACGCUUCAAUGAAAACAAACUGAUAUUUGCCUGACACUUGAGAUUGAUUGUCAUCCAUCAAGAGAGCUGCUGUCGUUGCUGCCGUUGCCGUUGCUGCUCUGCUGUGAGUGAGUGAGUGAUUGAAUGGCAAGGAUGCGCUGUUUGCAUUUCGAAUUUACAUGCCAUCUCCCUGCCUUCAGGCCUGGCUGUCUUCAAACAUUUGGGCGUUGGCCUGAAUUUAUAUUCAAUUACGACUCUGAAGUUUUAUUUCUUCAAGCUGUCACUCGUCCCUCCCGAAGGUUGACCACAAAAGUGGUCGGUCGUUCCUUUGCCAGCCUUUCACACACACACAAGUGAUGCUUGACUGAAAGGCGACUGCCAGGCAACACUUCUUCUCAUCUCCAUUACCUGGCAACACAUAUGUAUGCCUCUGUAAUGUGGUGAUACUCGGAGCCAGUCCGGAGAUCAUGUUUGCUUUUGGCACCGCAUAAAAGCCGUCAACUCCGAUUUGGAUACUCAAGAGGAGGGCCCAUGUGGUCAAGCCAGCAGCAGCUGUUGAGAUGCCAUAUGAAAGACAAAUUACUCGACGACGAGGCUUGAAAUAAAUCACUGCGAGGAUAGGACUCUUUUGCUGCCCAAUUUAAGAGUACAGCUGUCGCCGAUUUGGUUGUGGGACAUGGACAAAGCCCGCCGCACAUCUCUCUCAAUUUUCUGAAUGUGCAGUGCACUAUUUUCUGUUUUAUUGUUAAUUAAUUCUGCAAAAUAUAUGGCA